GUACCCUGUCGCAUGUUAGCCUCGGACUACGAAUCUGGGGGUCAGAGGUUCGAAUCCUUUCGGGCGCGCCA
rnacentral:tRNA from 1 species